rnacentral:lncRNA from 1 species
ACGGGAGGGAUUGUGCCUGAUAUUCAUAUGAUGAAGACAUAAUCUUUCAAUCAGUUUAAUUGAGGUCUGGAGCUGGCAUGUCAGUUAACUGCUAGUAGUCUGUUGUUAUUUAUGUAUUAUUGUCAUUUUAUUUAUUUUCUUUUGUUACAUCUUCUGACAUCGGACUCGGACUUCUCUUGAACUGAAUUUUAAUGUGCGUAUUGUUA